rnacentral:rRNA from 1 species
AGAGUUUGAUCCUGGCUCAGAACGAACGCUGGCGGCAUGCCUAACACAUGCAAGUCGAACGAACCCUUCGGGGUUAGUGGCGCACGGGUGCGUAACGCGUGGGAAUCUGCCCUUAGGUACGGAAUAACAGUGAGAAAUUACUGCUAAUACCGUAUGAUGUCUUCGGACCAAGGAUUUAUCGCCUAGGGAUGAGCCCGCGUAGGAUUAGCUAGUUGGUGAGGUAAAGGCUCACCAAGGCUACGAUCCUUAGCUGGUCUGAGAGGAUGAUCAGCCACACUGGGACUGAGACACGGCCCAGACUCCUACGGGAGGCAGCAGUGGGGAAUAUUGGACAAUGGGCGAAAGCCUGAUCCAGCAAUGCCGCGUGAGUGAAGAAGGCCUUCGGGUUGUAAAGCUCUUUUACCCGGGAAGAUAAUGACCGUACCGGGAGAAUAAGCCCCGGCUAACUCCGUGCCAGCAGACGCGGUAAUACGGAGGGGGCUAGCGAUGUUCGGAAUCACUGGGCGUAAAGCGUGCGUAGGCGGUCAUUUAAGUCAUAGGUGAAAGCCCAGGG